UACGUAUGGUGCAAGCGUUAUCCGGAUUUACUGGGUGUAAAGGGAGCGCAGGCGGUGCGGCAAGUCUGAUGUGAAAGCCCGGGGCUCAACCCCGGGACUGCAUUGGAAACUACCGUACUAGAGUGUCGGAGAGGUAAGUGGAAUUCCUAGUGUAGCGGUGAAAUGCGUAGAUAUUAGGAGGAACACCAGUGGCGAAGGCGGCUUACUGGACGAUAACUGACGCUGAGGCUCGAAAGCGUG
rnacentral:rRNA from 1 species